ensembl:miRNA cin-mir-4093 cin-mir-4093
CUCCGCAGCUUUUGCUGCAUUAGUUGCCCAUAAAGGGCGGAUACGUGAUGCAACAAAACUGCGGUUA